GACGAACGCUGGCGGCGUGCCUAAUACAUGCAAGUUGAGCGAUGAAGAUUGGUGCUUGCACCAAUUUGAAGAGCAGCGAACGGGUGAGUAACGCGUGGGGAAUCUGCCUUUGAGCGGGGGACAACAUUUGGAAACGAAUGCUAAUACCGCAUAACAACUUUAAACAUAAGUUUUAAGUUUGAAAGAUGCAAUUGCAUCACUCAAAGAUGAUCCCGCGUUGUAUUAGCUAGUUGGUGAGGUAAAGGCUCACCAAGGCGAUGAUACAUAGCCGACCUGAGAGGGUGAUCGGCCACAUUGGGACUGAGACACGGCCCAAACUCCUACGGGAGACAGCAGUAGGGAAUCUUCGGCAAUAGACGAAAGUCUGACCGAGCAACGCCGCGUGAGUGAAGAAGGUUUUCGGAUCGUAAAACUCUGUUGGUAGAGAAGAACGUUGGUGAGAGUGGAAAGCUCAUCAAGUGACGGUAACUACCCAGAAAGGGACGGCUAACUACGUG
rnacentral:rRNA from 1 species